rnacentral:piRNA from 1 species
GUGGAUGCUGGGAACUAAACUGGG